rnacentral:lncRNA from 10 species
GGGCUUAGCACCCGGGCCAGCGGCUGCGGAGGAUGUACUGGGUCCCCCAGCAGUUCCAGCCCACCGGCGCUUUGCUCGAUUUCUCACCGGGCCUUAGCUGCCUUCCCUCGGGGCAGGGCUCCGGACCUGCAGCCCACCAUGCCUGAGCCUCCCACCCACUCCAUGGGCUCCUGUGCGGCCUGAGCCUCCCUGACGAGCGCCACCCCCUGCACCGGGGCGCCCAGUCCCAUCGACCACCCAAGGGCUGAGGAGUGCGGGCGCAAGGCACCGGGACUUGCAGGCGGCUCCACCUGCAGCCCCGGUGCGGGAUCCACUGGGUGAAGCCAGCUGGGCUCCUGAGUCUGGUGGGGAUGUGGAGAACCUUUGUGUCUAGCUCAGGGAUUGUAAACGCACCAAUCAGCGCCCUGUCAAAACAGACCACUCGGCUCUACCAAUCAGCAGGAUGUGGAUGGGGCCAGAUAUAAAAGCAGGCUGCCCGAGCUAGCAGUGGCAACCGGCUCGGGUCUCCUUACGCACUGUGGAAGCUUUGUUCCUUCGCUCUUUGCAAUAAAUCUUGCUACUGCUCACACUUUGGGUCCACACUGCCUUUAUGAGCUGUAACACUCACCGGGAAGGCCUGCAGCUUCACUCCUGAGCCAGCGAGACCACGAGCCCACCAGGAGGAACGAACAACUCCAGAGGCGCCGCCUUAAGAGCUGUAACCCGGCAAAGGUCUGCAGCUUCACUCCUGAGCCAGGGAGACCACGAACCCACCAGAAGGAAGAAACUCCAAACACAUCCGAACAUCAGAAGGAACAAACUCCAGACGCGCCACCUUAAGAGCUGUAACACUCACUGGGAGGGUCCGCGGCUUCAUUCUUGAAGUCAGUGAGACCAAGAACCCACCAAUUCCGGACACAUAACCACUAUGCUAGACCAGAUACAGGAAAUCUUCAUAACCUCAGGAAGUUCUCCUGUGCCUCUUUGCAGUCACUUCCUCUCCGUGUCUUCCUCCCACCCCCGCCAUCUGAGGCAACCACAACUGGAAUUUCUAUCAUAUUGUGUUAAAUUACUACUUCUAGAAAUUCAUGUAAAUGAAAUCAACCAGAAUGUGAUGUUUUCAGAAUCAUGAAAUAUGGGAAAGGAAGAAAGAAAGAAGAAUCCUACUGAAUUUCAUGGUGUCUUCAUAAUGAGUAUUUAUCUGAGGUACUUUUGUGUGUACCUUCCUAUUUUUGCCAUUACCUCUCCAAUAUUUUGUUUAUCAAAAUCUCAUC